AACACUGACGUCGCGACGCAUAUCAAUAAGCGGAGGAAAAGAAACUAACAAGGAUUCCCUAGUAACGGCGAGUGAAGCGGGAAGAGCUCAAAUUUGAAAUCUUCAAGGUUCUACCUUGACGAAUUGUAGUUUAAAGAAGUGUUUUCUGUUAGAGGAGUAGUAAAAGUUCUUUGGAAUAGGACAUCAUAGAGGGUGAGAAUCCCGUAUUUGGUCAUUCCUUCUAGCUUUGUGAUACACUUUCAAAGAGUCGGAUUGUUUGGGAAUGCAGUCCAAAAUGGGUGGUAAAUUUCAUCUAAAGCUAAAUAUUGGCGAGAGACCGAUAGCGAACAAGUACCGUGAGGGAAAGAUGAAAAGAACUUUGAAAAGAGAGUUAAACAGUACGUGAAAUUGUCAAAAGGGAAGCGUUUGACACCAGUGUUGUUUUUCCGAAAAUCAAUUACGAAUGGUUUGAUUUCUGAUGAGUGUAUGACCUUCAUCAGCUUCCUGCAUCUCUUCCGAAGUCUUUUGUAAUGCACUUUUCGGUUAACAAGUCAACAUCAAUUUCUUUUGUUGUAAAAGAGUAUUCGGAAGGUGGCUUUCUUUUCGGAGAAAGUGUUUAUAGCCCUAUACUUCUACAAUCGGAGAGAUUGAGGUCUGCAGCGUAGAUCCUUCGGGGUUAGAUACAUUUGUGCUAAGUUGUAGCUUUUCAUAGACAACUUGUUGACUAUGUUUAGUCAUGCGGCUUACUCGCUUAUGCUAUUUUACCUACGCUUAGGAUGUUGAGUCGUAGAGCACGCAG
rnacentral:rRNA from 1 species